AUGACAGUCUUAAGUUGGAACUGCCGGGGUUUAGGGCAACCCCGGACAGUUCAGGAACUAGUGUGCUUGGUGCACACGUACAAGCCCAAGCUUGUGUUCCUUUCCGAGACACGGCAAAGCAACUUGUAUGUCAAUAAGUUGAAGUGGAGGCUUGGUCUAAGGCAUUGUAUCACGCAACCCGGCAUAGGAAAAGGAGCCGGCAUUGCGCUCUUCUAUGAUGAAAGU
rnacentral:rRNA from 1 species